UCCCUAGUGGCUCAGUGGUAAAGAAUCUGCCUGCAAUGCAGGAGACCAGGGUUCGAUCCCUGGAUCGGGAA
rnacentral:tRNA from 1 species